rnacentral:rRNA from 1 species
UACGUAGGGCGCAAGCGUUAUCCGGAAUUAUUGGGCGUAAAGAGCUCGUAGGCGGUUUGUCGCGUCUGCCGUGAAAGUCCGGGGCUCAACUCCGGAUCUGCGGUGGGUACGGGCAGACUAGAGUGAUGUAGGGAGACUGGAAUUCCUGGUGUAGCGGUGAAAUGCGCAGAUAUCAGGAGGAACACCGGUGGCGAAGGCGGUCUCUGGCCCGAUGACUGACGCUGAGGAGCGAAAGCGUGGGUAGCAAACAGGAU